rnacentral:misc_RNA from 1 species
GGAAGCAUAGUUAUAGCUUACAAGAAAAGUGAAUUUCAAAAGCGUAAAAUCGCUCCUAUAGAGGACUGGGCCGAUCUAUGGCGACCUGAGCUUGCUGGAAAGAUUGCAAUGGUAGAUUCACCUCGAGAGAUUGUGGGUGCAGUGUUAAAGUACAUGGGAGCAUCAUACAACACAAUAGACAUGUCUGAAGUUGCUGGUGGGAAAGAGGCCGUGCAGCAGAAUCUUGCAUCACUUGUUAAACAGGUCCGGCUAUUUGAUAGUCGCCACUAUCUUAAAGCCUUCGGAGUUGGGGAUGUAUGGGUAGCUGUUGGAUGGAGCAAUGAUGUCAUUCCUGCUGCGAAGCGCUUGUCAAAUAUUGCUGUUAUUGUUCCCAAAUCUGGUGCAAGUUUG